UAGUCCACGCUGUAAACGAUGAUCACUAGAUGUUUGUAUUAAUAUGAGCAUCCAAGGGAAACCGUUAAGUAAGCCACCUGGGGAGUACGUUCGCAAGAAUGAAACUCAAAGGAAUUGACGGGGGCCCGCACAAGCGGUGGAGCAUGUGGUUUAAUUCGAUGAUACGCGAGGAACCUUACCAGGGCUUAAAUGUGGUCUGACAGCUUUAGAGAUAGAGUUUUCUUCGGACAGAUCGCAAGGUGCUGCAUGAUUGUCGUCAGCUCGUGCCGUGAGGUGUCAGGUUAAGUCCUAUAACGAGCGCAACCCCUGCCGUCAGUUGCCAUCAAGUAAAGUUGGGGACUCUGACGGGACUGCCGGUGCAAACCGUGAGGAAGGUGGGGACGACGUCAAAUCAUCACGGCCCUUACGUCCUGGGCUACACACGUGCUACAAUGGCCGGUACAGAGAGCAGCCACUCCGCAAGGGGGCNCGGAAUCUACAAAACCGGUCACAGUUCGGAUCGGGGUCUGCAACCCCG
rnacentral:rRNA from 1 species